GAAAUGCGAUAAGUAAUGUGAAUUGCAGAAUUCAGUGAAUCAUCGAAUCUUUGAACGCACAUUGCGCCCGCCAGAAUUCUGGCGGGCAUGCCUGUUCGAGCGUCAUUUCAACCCUCGAGCUCCCCUUUCGGGAGGAGCCCGGCGUUGGGGACCCGGCGCUAACAACGCCGGCCCCGAAAUGGAGUGGCGGCCCGUCCGCGGCGACCUCUGCGUAGUAACAACCACUCGCACCGGGACCCGGGCGCGGCCACGCCGUAAAACACCCCACCUUCCGAAUGUUGACCUCGAAUCAGGUAGGAAUACCCGCUGAACUUAAGC
rnacentral:misc_RNA from 1 species